rnacentral:rRNA from 1 species
GUGAGGAAUUUUCCGCAAUGGGCGAAAGCCUGACGGAGCAAUGCCGCGUGAAGGAUGAAGGCCUAUGGGUUGUAAACUUCUUUUCUCAGUAAAGAAUUAUGACGGUAUCUGAGGAAUAAGCAUCGGCUAACUCUGUGCCAGCAGCCGCGGUAAGACAGAGGAUGCAAGCGUUAUCCGGAAUGAUUGGGCGUAAAGCGUCUGUAGGUUGUUUAAAAAGUAUUCUGUCAAAGAUUAGGGCUUAACCCUAGAUAGGCAGAAUAAACUUUUAAGCUAGAGUUUGGUAGAGGCAGAGGGAAUUCCCGGUGGAGCGGUGAAAUGCGUAGAUAUCGGGAGGAACACCAAAGGCGAAGGCACUCUGCUGGGCCAAUACUAACACUGAGAGACGAAAGCGAGGGGAGCAAAUGGGAUUAGAUACCCGAGUAGUCC